rnacentral:misc_RNA from 1 species
AAGUCGUAACAAGGUCUCCGUAGGUGAACCUGCGGAGGGAUCAUUAACACGAUGAGAGACGCGUCAAACCGUCUCCCAUUCUCCACCCAACGUGAACUCGGUUGCUUACACUUCGGUGUAUUCAAUCAUUCCUCCCUUUGUUUGUUGUAGAGCUGUUGAAAUCCGAUGUGUAGUGGGCCAAUUGCUGGCCAUCUGUUUCAACUAGUAGAGCUUGACUCUACGGCUCUCAACAACUUAGGCAAUACAUUCAUUUCAGCCACUACAGAAAUAACCCUAUUCACCCUUCAUUCAACAAUCGACUGAUCCAAGAGUGAUACAACGCAAGUUGUAACUCUCUCUAAGAUACGAUAAACUAAGCACAACUCUUAGCAACGGAUAUCUUGGUUCUC